GGCUUGCAGUGCUCUUGGCAGACAUGAGGCAACGAUUGCUCCCGUCCGUCACCAGCCUUCUCCUUGUGGCCCUGCUGUUUCCAGGAUCGUCUCAAGCCAGACAUGUGAACCACUCAGCCACUGAGGCUCUCGGAGAACUCAGGGAAAGAGCCCCUGGGCAAGGCACAAACGGGUUUCAGCUGCUACGCCACGCAGUGAAACGGGACCUCUUACCACCGCGCACCCCACCUUACCAAGGGGAUGUUCCACUGGGAAUUAGAAAUACCAUCUGCCGUAUGCAGCAAGGGAUCUGCAGACUUUUUUUCUGCCAUUCUGGGACAGGCCAGCAGCACAGACAACGCUGUGGAUAAGGAGAGUAGAGACUUCCUCUUCCUGCCUCCUGUCUUCUGGAGUUGUGACCGCAGGGUGGCCCAGGUGGAUCGGCUUCAGAGGCCAGGAGGCAGCUCUCUGCAGCCGAAGAGCAGGAGCCUCACCCACGGUCUGUGGCUCUGACUAAGCCUGGACUGCCUCUCGGCUGUGCUCCGUGGACUGGCUCCCCAGGGAUCCAUGUGAGAGACCGGAGUAUGAUCCUCAGUGCGAGGACAAAUAAAAGUAGUGAUUAUGUCCACCCCA
rnacentral:lncRNA from 1 species